rnacentral:rRNA from 1 species
AAUGCGCAGAUAUCAGGAGGAACACCGAUGGCGAAGGCAGGUCUCUGGGCUGUUACUGACGCUGAGGAGCGAAAGCAUGGGGAGCGAACAGGAUUAGAUACCCUGGUAGUCCAUGCCGUAAACGUUGGGCACUAGGUGUGGGGGACAUUCCACGUUUUCCGCGCCGUAGCUAACGCAUUAAGUGCCCCGCCUGGGGAGUACGGCCGCAAGGCUAAAACUCAAAGGAAUUGACGGGGGCCCGCACAAGCGGCGGAGCAUGCGGAUUAAUUCGAUGCAACGCGAAGAACCUUACCAAGGCUUGACAUAUACCGGAUCGUUCCAGAGAUGGUUCUUCCCCUUUGGGGUCGGUAUACAGGUGGUGCAUGGUGUCGUCAGCUCGGU